rnacentral:rRNA from 1 species
UACGGGGGGAGCAAGCGUUGUUCGGAAUUACUGGGCGUAAAGCGCGCGCAGGCGGCUAUCCAAGUCAGUGGUGAAAGCCCGGAGCUCAACUCCGGAACUGCCAUUGAAACUGUUUAGCUUGAGGAUGAGAGAGGUGAGUGGAAUUCCCAGUGUAGAGGUGAAAUUCGUAGAUAUUGGGAAGAACACCAGUGGCGAAGGCGGCUCACUGGCUCAUUACUGACGCUCAGGCGCGAUAGCGUGGGGAUCAAACAGG